rnacentral:sRNA from 1 species
AAACAUUUAGAAUGCUGACUGUUAUGUUUGGAAGAACUCCUGGAAGUUUUAUUUACUGUAUUUUCCCUUUUAUGGCUUUCCACUGACACACCCAGGUUGGCGGUGCGCUACGGGGCUGCAUUUACCCAGAAAUUUUCUUCCUCUAUAGCCCCACACAUUACUACUUUUCUGGUACAUGGGAAACAGGUAACAUGCACAGAAUUUGAAAACCCAAGCUGCUUGAAAUGUGUGGGCUUAUUUGCACUCUGAAGGUUAAAUAUGUCUUUUGGUCUUAUAGUGUGUGGGUGAAAGCUUCUCUAGAAGUCGAAAGUGUUUGUUUCACUAACUUUAUUAGUUAUUGACUUAAUUUUCUUUUAGUCAUCUAUGUUAAAAUUAAGGAAUAUAAAUGCUUUUUAUAAGUCAGCUUCUGUGGAUAUCCUGAAAUACAUGAAGAUUACAGCCAGUUUCAAACCUACAUUUUUAUUUCUCUAUCUAAAAGUUCCACGUGAAUUUUUACUUUUGAGGGAAAAAAAUUGUCUUAUGUAUUGCAUGUGCUGUACUUUAAAAAAAAAAAUCUGUUCUCCCUAGGUUCUAAGACUUUUUCAGUAAUAUAAAAAUAGCAGUGUGAAUUCCUUCCCCCAACAUUAUGGCUUUAUCAGUAAAAAGAAAUACUGGUAUUUCAUUGUAGCACUUUCUAAAAUUCAGUACUAAGUGAAUCCUCUAAUCCAGAGAUUUGGUUAUCUAGGCACCAAAAGAAACAUGAUUUAAAGGGGUUAUAGAAAUAGGUCACAUGUACUAGUGACAGAUUUAGUAAUGAACUUGUUAAUGCAAAAUCAGAAUAGCCUCUUAAUCCCUCCUAUACACCCUCCCUCCCUAAUCAAAAUAAUAAUUAGGUUUUCUUUUUUUGCUUUUUAUAUCAAUAGUGUCAUCAAUAAUAUUUUUGUCACAGCUUGGUGGCAGGGAUGAGGUGGAGGGAUCCCUCCCUAAUUCUGAAUGGUCCUGCAGUCUGGGAAAUUUCAGCUGUUAGGUUCAAUGUCCUGGGCAGUGUUUCCUCCAAAUGAUGAUGUGAGGAUUCCACUGUGUAUAUUUUAAAGACUACCCAAUCAGGGCCCCAUGCAUUCCUCAUCUUUUAGAUUUGUGAACAUCUGGCCUGCUCUCUUCUUUGCCCCCAGGUCGGUUGUACGCCGUGCAGCAAGUCUUUUAAGUAAAGUAGUGGACAGCCUGGCCCCAUCCAUUACUAAUGUUUUAGUGCAGGGCAAACAGGUAACUCUGGGUGCCUUUGGGCAUGAAGAAGAAGUUAUCUCUAAUCCUUUGUCUCCAAGAGUGAUUCAAAACAUCAUCUAUUAUAAGUGUAACACCCAUGAUGAGAGGGAAGCGGUCAUUCAGCAAGAACUGGUCAUCCAUAUUGGCUGGAUCAUCUCCAAUAACCCUGAGUUAUUCAGUGGCAUGCUGAAAAUAAGAAUCGGGUGGAUCAUCCAUGCCAUGGAGUAUGAACUUCAGAUCCGUGGCGGAGACAAGCCAGCCUUGGACUUGUAUCAGCUGUCACCUAGUGAAGUUAAACAGCUUCUGCUGGAUAUUCUGCAGCCUCAACAGAGUGGAAGAUGUUGGCUGAACAGGCGUCAGAUCGAUGGGUCUUUGAAUAGAACUCCCACCGGGUUCUAUGACCGAGUGUGGCAGAUUCUGGAGCGCACGCCCAAUGGGAUCAUUGUUGCUGGGAAGCAUUUGCCUCAGCAACCAACCCUGUCAGAUAUGACCAUGUAUGAGAUGAAUUUCUCUCUCCUUGUUGAAGACACGUUGGGAAAUAUUGACCAGCCACAGUACAGACAGAUCGUUGUAGAGUUACUUAUGGUUGUAUCCAUUGUACUGGAAAGAAACCCCGAGCUAGAAUUUCAAGACAAAGUAGAUCUAGACAGACUGGUCAAAGAAGCAUUUAAUGAAUUUCAAAAAGAUCAGAGUCGGCUAAAGGAAAUUGAAAAACAAGAUGACAUGACUUCCUUUUACAACACUCCUCCCCUGGGAAAAAGAGGAACAUGCAGCUAUUUGACAAAGGCGGUGAUGAAUCUGCUGCUGGAAGGAGAAGUCAAGCCAAACAAUGAUGACCCGUGUCUGAUUAGCUAGUGGGGAAGGUGUAGGAAGCUCUGUUGAGACACAUGUUCUGAAGUGUGUUGUGUUUCAUGUUCAAGCUUAAUCAAGGCAGCCAUUAAUAUACGAACUGAGCAUGCUGGGGAGGUGAAUGCCACAUCCUUGGCGGGGUUAUGGACCUCUUGCAUGUCAUAGCCAAUCUAAUAGUAAUGGUAAAUGUUUUUAAUCAAGCAGAAAAAAGUUCUCAUGAUUAUGCCAACUACAAUAGUAAUCCUCACUGAGUGAUAAAAAUAGUUUAUGAAUUGAAAAUUUGCCACUGCAUGUUUUAUGAUCAAAUAGUUCAUCAAAAUGAAUCUUUGCUCUUUGGACUGAAUUCUUACCAUACUGCCAUUAAAAUAAAUUUGCCAACUAGUAAUGCAUACUGGAAAUCAAAAGAUAUUGAAAGAAUGGUGAACUUCUCUUAGUGGUAUUGUCAUGCUAAAAGAUGUUAAUAUACAUCAUAAAAGCAAAGUCAGCCAGCUGAUAUUUUGGUUCUCAAAAACUGCAUUAUUAAUAAUAUUUUAGUAUACAGAGCUAUUCUACAGUUUUUACACUGUAAACAUGACUAUGGUUUUGUAUUUGCUAAAUAUAGGGGUUGGACUAAAAUAUAAUAAAUCUGUACCUUAUCAAACAUUUUCUUUGAGCUCCUGCUAAAAAUAGGACAUGUCUAUGAUUGUUCAAAAAUAUGUUAAAUUUAGGCUCAGCACAGUAGCUCACACCUGAUAUCUUAGCACUUCGGGAGGCUGAGGCAGGUGGAUCACUUGAGGUCAGGAGUUCAAGACCAGCCCAGCCAACAUGGUGAAAACCCUGUCUCUACUAAAAAUACAAAAAUUAGCCAGGCAUGAUGGUGCAUGCCUUUAAACCCAGCUACUGAGGAGGCUGAGGCAUGAGAAUUGCUUGAACCAGGAGACGGAGGUUGCAGUGAGCUGAAAUCCUGCCACUGCACACCAGCCUGGGUGACAGAGCGAGACUCCAUCUC